rnacentral:piRNA from 1 species
UGUGUUGAGGUGAAAUGAAACUGAAAC